rnacentral:lncRNA from 1 species
CUCACUGAAUACAUUCUUUCAGCACAGGCAGAAAUAGCUCAUGUACAUGUAUUUGAAAUUAUUCAUACAAAUUCUAAGGGAAAAUGACUGCCAACUAUUAAAGCAUCUAGAUUGAGUCAGUUGAAGAUAAUAGGAUUUACUUUAAAACAAAGCACCCCUCCAAAAAACCAUACAUGCUCUCUUUUAGAAUAAAGGUGAAACUAAAAAUCCUUGCCUUGUUCUUGCCUCAUAAUUUACAUAUAAUAUUCUAUUUUGUAUCUGAGAAAAGCUGAAUCCUAUCAAAUUAGUUUUAUCUCAUUUUGUCUAGUUCAUGCAUUUUCUAGCAACAAUGUCAGUAUAAUUCACCUUGAGGGACGUCCUAAUGAAAACUGCAGUCAUAUAGCUGAAUGUUAGGUAUCAUUGUUUCUAUAAAAAGGUACACACUCCAUGUUAAAAAGAGAAAGUCUUUAAACUUUCCUGAAGGAUAAUUACUUAUUUGAUAUUUUUAGUUUGGCUCGAAGCCCACAUUUGCCAGAAUUUUCGCUUGCUGACUUGUCACAGGAUAAAUGACGUGGUCAGGGGAGCAGAGUUCAUUUUCCUGGGUCUGUACUUUACCCUCCUCACUCCAGCCAUUUAUUUAAAAUGUUCUUACAUACUUUAAUGCUGUGUGUCGAGGUUCUGACAGGAAGCCGGCAGGGUAACACUGCAGUUCCGGAACUAGUCUAGACUACCCAGGUUCUUGCUGUGUGACAUCGGGAAGUGAAAACUUCCAUUUGCUUAACCCCUGUGACAUUAAAGCAAGCUUACUCUCACACGCAGCUGCGGGUGAGGAGCCCGGAGAGGCUUCUGCUGGAUUCUGAGGAAUCCGCUGAUGCUGGGAAGGAGCCAGGACUGUGGCCGCGUGUUUCACAUUAUGGAAGAAAAGAGACCUCGCACUUCACAGCUGAGACGAGCCGCUGCUCAGCAGAGUGCACCUCGUCCUCAAAAGAGCCCUGUUCUGCAGGGUCCAGGAUCCAGGGCAGCCUUGGCAUGCAGGCCGUUCACACGGAAGAGAACAAGCUCCGCUCUCUGAGGCGCAGGGGAAGGACUGCUGGCGGCUGCCUGAGGAUCUCUGCACAGGCUAGCAAGUGUGGUAACACAGCCUCCCGGGCGGUCCUGGCUGCCCACAGGGUGCAGAGCGCUAAGCGGUGGAGCAGUAUUGAGAAGCACUGAGUGUACCUGAGGUGGGUUCCUCAAACGUUACUCUUUCAGAAGCUGAGGAGCAUCUAUAUUUUACAGUUUUAAUGUUGUUUUCUUAAUUAUCAGAAAAAUUACAAUUAAUAUUCUGGUUUGUCAAAAUUUUGCAUAGCAACUCAGUAAAACUAACAGUUGGCUAAUCCGUUGUGUAAAAAAUAGUCCUAUGUGUAUUUCCACAUAAAAUCUUCAUAAUGUUGUGUUAUACAUUAUGGGAUACAUCGUCA